rnacentral:rRNA from 1 species
GAGCGGAUGACGGGAGCUUGCUCCUUGAUUCAGCGGCGGACGGGUGAGUAAUGCCUAGGAAUCUGCCUGGUAGUGGGGGACAACGUUUCGAAAGGAACGCUAAUACCGCAUACGUCCUACGGGAGAAAGCACGGGACCUUUGGGCCUUGCGCUAUCAGAUGAGCCUAGGUCGGAUUAGCUAGUUGGUGGGGUAAUGGCUCACCAAGGCGACGAUCCGUAACUGGUCUGAGAGGAUGAUCAGUCACACUGGAACUGAGACACGGUCCAGACUCCUACGGGAGGCAGCAGUGGGGAAUAUUGGACAAUGGGCGAAAGCCUGAUCCAGCCAUGCCGCGUGUGUGAAGAAGGUCUUCGGAUUGUAAAGCACUUUAAGUUGGGAGGAAGGGCAGUAAGUUAAUACCUUGCUGUUUUGACGUUACCGACAGAAUAAGCACCGGCUAACUCUGUG